rnacentral:rRNA from 1 species
ACGGAAGGCAGCAGUGGGGAAUAUUGGGCAAUGGGCGAAAGCCUGACCCAGCAACGCCGCGUGAAGGAAGAAGGUCUUCGGAUUGUAAACUUCUUUUAUGAGGGACGAAGGAAGUGACGGUACCUCAUGAAUAAGCCACGGCUAACUACGUGCCAGCAGCCGCGGUAAUACGUAGGUGGCAAGCGUUAUCCGGAUUUACUGGGUGUAAAGGGCGCGUAGGCGGGGAUGCAAGUCAGAUGUGAAAUCCAUGGGCUCAACUCAUGAACUGCAUUUGAAACUGUAUCUCUUGAGUGCUGGAGAGGUAGAUGGAAUUCCUUGUGUAGCGGUGAAAUGCGUAGAUAUAAGGAAGAACACCAGUGGCGAAGGCGACCUACUGGACAGUAACUGACGCUGAGGCGCGAAAGCGUGGGGAGCAAACAGGAUUAGAUACCCUGGUA